rnacentral:rRNA from 1 species
CUACGGAGGGUCCAAGCGUUAUCCGGAAUCAUUGGGUUUAAAGGGUCCGCAGGCGGUCAAUUAAGUCAGAGGUGAAAGCCCAUCGCUCAACGAUGGAACUGCCUUUGAUACUGGUUGACUUGAGUUAUACGGAAGUAGACAGAAUAAGUAGUGUAGCGGUGAAAUGCAUAGAUAUUACUUAGAAUACCGAUUGCGAAGGCAGUCUACUACGUAUAUACUGACGCUGAGGGACGAAAGCGUGGGGAGCGAACAGGAUUAGAAACCCUAGUAGUCC